ensembl:lncRNA
CUGAAACUGACAGUACAGUGUGAAGGCUGAAACUGGCAGUACAGUGUGAAGGAUGAAACUGACAGUACAGUAUGGAGGCUGAAACUGACUACAGUGUGGAGGCUGAAACUGACAGUACAGUGUGAAGGCUGAAACUGGCAGUACAGUGUGAAGGCUGAAACUGACAGUACAGUGUGAAGGCUGAAACUGGCAGUACAGUGUGAAGGAUGAAACUGACAGUACAGUAUGGAGGCUGAAACUGGCAGUACAGUGUGAAGGAUGAAACUGACAGUACAGUCUGGAUGCUGAAACUGACAGUACAGUGUGAAGGCUGAAACUGACAGUACAGUGUGAAGGCUGAAACUGGCAGUACAGUGUGAAGGCUGAAACUGACAGUACAGUAUGGAGGCUGAAACUGACUACAGUGUGGAGGCUGAAACUGACAGUACAGUGUGAAGGCUGAAACUGACAGUACAGUGUGGAGGCUGAAACUGACAGUACAGUGUGAAGGCUAAAACUGACUACAGUGUGAAGGCUGAAACUGACAGUACAGUGUGGAGGCUGAAACUGACAGUACAGUGUGGAGGCUGAAACUGACAGUACAGUGUGAAGGCUGAAACUGACAGUACAGUGUGACGGCUGAAACUGACUGUACAGUGUGAAGGCAGAAACUGACAGUACAGUGUGAAGGCAGAAGCUGACAGUACAGUGUGAAGGCAGAAACUGACAGUACAGUGUGGAGGCUGAAACUGACAGUACAGUGUGGAGGCUGAAACUGACAGUACAGUGUGAAGGCUGAAACUGACAGUACAGUGUGAAGGCUGAAACUGACAGUACAGUGUGGAGGCUGAAACUGCUACUCCAAUAGAAAUCCCUGAUCGCAUUUACAGGAUUAGAAAUCGUGACUAGGACAGUACAGUGUGAAGGCAGAAACUGAUAGUACAGUGUGAAGGCUGAAACUGACAGUACAGUGGGGAGGCUGAAACUGACAGUACAGUGUGAAGGCUGAAACUGACAGUACAGUGUGAAGGCUGAAACUGACAGUAGAGUGUGAAGGCUGAAACUGACAGCACAGUUGUGAAGGAUGAAACUGACAGUACAGUGUGAAGGCUGAAACUGGCAGUACAGUGUGAAGGAUGAAACUGACAGUACAGUAUGGAGGCUGAAACUGACUACAGUGUGGAGGCUGAAACUGACUACAGUGUGGAGGCUGAAACUGACAGUACAGUGUGAAGGCUGAAACUGGCAGUACAGUGUGAAGGCUGAAACUGGCAGUACAGUGUGAAGGAUGAAACUGACAGUACAGUAUGGAGGCUGAAACUGACUACACUGUGGAGGCUGAAACUGACUACAGUGUGGAGGCUGAAACUGACAGUACAGUGUGAAGGCUGAAACUGGCAGUACAGUGUGAAGGCUGAAACUGACAGUACAGUGUGAAGGCUGAAACUGGCAGUACAGUGUGAAGGAUGAAACUGACAGUACAGUCUGGAUGCUGAAACUGACAGUACAGUGUGGAGGCUGAAACUGACAGUACAGUGUGGAGGCUGAAACUGACAGUACAGUGUGAAGGCUGAAACUGACAGGACAGUGUGACGGCUGAAACUGACUGUACAGUGUGAAGGCAGAAACUGACAGUACAGUGUGAAGGCAGAAGCUGAUAGUACAGUGUGAAGGCAGAAACUGACAGUACAGUGUGGAGGCUGAAACUGACAGUACAGUGUGAAGGCUGAAACUGACAGUACAGUGUGAAGGCUGAAACUAACAGUACAGUGUGGAGGCUGAAACUGCUCCUCCAAUAGAAAUCCCUGAUCGCAUUUACAGGAUUAGAAAUCGUGACUAGGACAGUACUGUGUGAA